GUUGUAUAGUUAAGUAACUAAGCGUACAAGGUGGAUGCCUUGGCAAUCAGAGGCGAAGAAGGACGUGCUAAUCUGCGAAAAGCUUGGAUGAGUCGAUAAGAGGCGUUUAAUCCAAGAUAUCCGAAUGGGGAAACCCAGUAGAUGAAGAAUCUACUAUCAACAAGUGAAUUCAUAGCUUGUUGAGGCAAACCGGGAGAACUGAAACAUCUAAGUACCCCGAGGAAAAGAAAUCAACCGAGAUUUCGUCAGUAGCGGCGAGCGAAAGCGAAAGAGCCAGUAAGUGAUAGCAGUAUAGUGAGGAGAAUGUGUUGGGAAGCACAAUCAAAGAGGGUGAUAAUCCCGUAUCUAAAAACCAUAUUGUGGUACUAAGCUAACGAGAAGUAGGGCGGGACACGUGAUAUCCUGUUUGAAGAAGGGGGGACCAUCCUCCAAGGCUAAAUACUCCUGAUUGACCGAUAGUGAACCAGUACUGUGAAGGAAAGGCGAAAAGAACCCCGGUGAGGGGAGUGAAAUAGAACCUGAAACCUUGUACGUACAAGCAGUGGGAGCCCCAUCACUUAAUCCGAUUGGAAGGUGAUGAAAAGCAACCGCACUUAAACAAUGGUAAGAGGAGCGAAGCGAGUCAAACCACCCAAAAGAAGCAGUGGGAUUAAGUGAUGGGGUGACUGCGUACCUUUUGUAUAAUGGGUCAGCGACUUAUAUUUUGUAGCGAGGUUAACUGAAUAGGGGAGCCGAAGGGAAACCGAGUCUUAACUGGGCGAGUAGUUGCAAGGUAUAGACCCGAAACCCGGUGAUCUAGCCAUGGGCAGGUUGAAGGUUGGGUAACACUAACUGGAGGACCGAACCGACUAAUGUUGAAAAAUUAGCGGAUGACUUGUGGCUGGGGGUGAAAGGCCAAUCAAACCGGGAGAUAGCUGGUUCUCCCCGAAAUCUAUUUAGGUAGAGCCUUGAGGUGACACCUUUGGGGGUAGAGCACUGUUUCGGCUAGGGGGCCAUCCCGGCUUACCAACCCGAUGCAAACUACGAAUACCAAAGAGUGAUACUCAGGAGACACACGGCGGGUGCUAACGUCCGUCGUGGAGAGGGAAACAACCCAGACCGCCAGCUAAGGUCCCCAAGUCUAUAUUAAGUGGGAAACGAAGUGGGAAGGCUUAGACAGCUAGGAUGUUGGCUUAGAAGCAGCCAUCAUUUAAAGAAAGCGUAAUAGCUCACUAGUCGAGUCGGCCUGCGCGGAAGAUGUAACGGGGCUGAAAUAUAGCACCGAAGCUGCGGCAUCAGAAUUUAUUCUGUUGGGUAGGGGAGCGUUGUGUAAGCGGAAGAAGGUUCAUCGAGAGGUGGGCUGGACGUAUCACAAGUGCGAAUGCUGACAUAAGUAACGAUAAAACGGGUGAAAAACCCGUUCGCCGGAAGACCAAGGGUUCCUGUCCAACGUUAAUCGGGGCAGGGUGAGUCGGCUCCUAAGGCGAGGCUGAAAAGCGUAGUCGAUGGGAAACAGGUUAAUAUUCCUGUACUUGGUAAAGCUGCGAUGUGGGGACGGAGUAGGUUAGGUUAUCGCACUGUUGGAUAUGUGCGUUUAAGUUGGUAGGUGGGAAGUUUAGGCAAAUCCGGGCUUCCUUAACACAGAGAGAUGAUGACGAGGCUCUACGGAGCUGAAGUAACUGAUACCACACUUCCAGGAAAAGCCACUAAGCGAAAGGCUUUACUAAACCGUACUGAAAACCGACACAGGUGGUCAGGUAGAGAAUACUCAGGCGCUUGAGAGAACUCGGGUGAAGGAACUAGGCAAAAUAGCACCGUAACUUCGGGAGAAGGUGCGCCGGCGUAGAUUGUAAGGGCUAGCCCCUGAAGGUUGAACCGGUCGAAGAUACCAGCUGGCUGCAACUGUUUAUUAAAAACACAGCACUCUGCAAACACGAAAGUGGACGUAUAGGGUGUGAUGCCUGCCCGGUGCUGGAAGGUUAAUUGAUGGUGUAAUCGCAAGAGAAGCACCUGAUCGAAGCCCCAGUAAACGGCGGCCGUAACUAUAACGGUCCUAAGGUAGCGAAAUUCCUUGUCGGGUAAGUUCCGACCUGCACGAAUGGCAUAAUGAUGGCCAGGCUGUCUCCACCCGAGACUCAGUGAAAUUGAAAUCGCCGUGAAGAUGCGGUGUACCCGCGGCUAGACGGAAAGACCCCGUGAACCUUUACUAUAGCUUGACACUGAACAUUGAAUUUUGAUGUGUAGGAUAGGUGGGAGCCUUUGAAGCAGUGACGCCAGUCAUUGUGGAGGCGACCUUGAAAUACCACCCUUUAACGUUUGAUGUUCUAACGAAGAUGACGAAACGUGGUCUCGGACAGUGUCUGGUGGGUAGUUUGACUGGGGCGGUCUCCUCCCAAAGCGUAACGGAGGAGCACGAAGGUUUGCUAAUCACGGUCGGACAUCGUGAGGUUAGUGCAAUGGUAUAAGCAAGCUUAACUGCGAGACAGACAAGUCGAGCAGGUACGAAAGUAGGUCAUAGUGAUCCGGUGGUUCUGAAUGGAAGGGCCAUCGCUCAACGGAUAAAAGGUACUCCGGGGAUAACAGGCUGAUACCGCCCAAGAGUUCAUAUCGACGGCGGUGUUUGGCACCUCGAUGUCGGCUCAUCACAUCCUGGGGCUGAAGUAGGUCCCAAGGGUAUGGCUGUUCGCCAUUUAAAGUGGUACGCGAGCUGGGUUUAGAACGUCGUGAGACAGUUCGGUCCCUAUCUGCCGUGGGCGUAGGAGAAUUGGUUGGGGCUGCUCCUAGUACGAGAGGACCGGAGUGGACGCACCACUGGUGUUCCGGUUGUGUCGCCAGACGCAUUGCCGGGUAGCUAAGUGCGGAAGAGAUAAGUGCUGAAAGCAUCUAAGCACGAAACUUGCCAAGAGAUGAGUUCUCCCAAUCAAAGAGAUUGUAAGGGUUGUUGUAGACUACGACGUAGAUAGGUCUGGUGUGUAAGUGUAGUGAUACAUUGAGCUAACAGAUACUAAUUGCCCGAGAGGCUUAACUAUACAACGCUCAAG
rnacentral:rRNA from 1 species